rnacentral:rRNA from 1 species
AGUCGGCCUGCGCGGAAGAUGUAACGGGGCUAAACCAUGCACCGAAGCUGCGGCAGCGACGCUUAUGCGUUGUUGGGUAGGGGAGCGUUCUGUAAGCCUGUGAAGGUGUGCUGUGAGGCAUGCUGGAGGUAUCAGAAGUGCGAACGCUGACAUAAGUAACGAUAAAGCGGGUGAAAAGCCCGCUCGCCGGAAGACCAAGGGUUCCUGUCCAACGUUAAUCGGGGCAGGGUGAGUCGACCCCUAAGGCGAGGCCGAAAGGCGUAGUCGAUGGGAAACAGGUUAAUAUUCCUGUACUUGGUGUUACUGCGAAGGGGGGACGGAGAAGGCUAUGUUGGCCGGGCGACGGUUGUCCCGGUUUAAGCGUGUAGGCUGGUUUUCCAGGCAAAUCCGGAAAAUCAAGGCUGAGGCGUGAUGACGAGGCACUACGGUGCUGAAGCAACAAAUGCCCUGCUUCCAGGAAAAGCCUCUAAGCAUCAGGUAACAUCAAAUCGUACCCCAAACCGACACAGGUGGUCAGGUAGAGAAUACCAAGGCGCUUGAGAGAACUCGGGUGAAGGAACUAGGCAAAAUGGUGCCGUAACUUCGGGAGAAGGCACGCUGAUAUGUAGGUGAAGUCCCUCGCGGAUGGAGCUGAAAUCAGUCGAAGAUACCAGCUGGCUGCAACUGUUUAUUAAAAACACAGCACUGUGCAAACACGAAAGUGGACGUAUACGGUGUGACGCCUGCCCGGUGCCGGAAGGUUAAUUGAUGGGGUCAGCGCAAGCGAAGCUCUUGAUCGAAGCCCCGGUAAACGGCGGCCGUAACUAUAACGGUCCUAAGGUAGCGAAAUUCCUUGUCGGGUAAGUUCCGACCUGCACGAAUGGCGUAAUGAUGGCCAGGCUGUCUCCACCCGAGACUCAGUGAAAUUGAACUCGCUGUGAAGAUGCAGUGUACCCGCGGCAAGACGGAAAGACCCCGUGAACCUUUACUAUAGCUUGACACUGAACAUUGAGCCUUGAUGUGUAGGAUAGGUGGGAGGCUUAGAAGUGUGGACGCCAGUCUGCAUGGAGCCGACCUUGAAAUACCACCCUUUAAUGUUUGAUGUUCUAACGUUGACCCGUAAUCCGGGUUGCGGACAGUGUCUGGUGGGUAGUUUGACUGGGGCGGUCUCCUCCUAAAGAGUAACGGAGGAGCACGAAGGUUGGCUAAUCCUGGUCGGACAUCAGGAGGUUAGUGCAAUGGCAUAAGCCAGCUUGACUGCGAGCGUGACGGCGCGAGCAGGUGCGAAAGCAGGUCAUAGUGAUCCGGUGGUUCUGAAUGGAAGGGCCAUCGCUCAACGGAUAAAAGGUACUCCGGGGAUAACAGGCUGAUACCGCCCAAGAGUUCAUAUCGACGGCGGUGUUUGGCACCUCGAUGUCGGCUCAUCACAUCCUGGGGCUGAAGUAGGUCCCAAGGGUAUGGCUGUUCGCCAUUUAAAGUGGUACGCGAGCUGGGUUUAGAACGUCGUGAGACAGUUCGGUCCCUAUCUGCCGUGGGCGCUGGAGAACUGAGGGGGGCUGCUCCUAGUACGAGAGGACCGGAGUGGACGCAUCACUGGUGUUCGGGUUGUCAUGCCAAUGGCACUGCCCGGUAGCUAAAUGCGGAAGAGAUAAGUGCUGAAAGCAUCUAAGCACGAAACUUGCCCCGAGAUGAGUUCUCCCUGACUCCUUGAGAGUCCUGAAGGAACGUUGAAGACGACGACGUUGAUAGGCCGGGUGUGUAAGCGCAGCGAUGCGUUGAGCUAACCGGUACUAAUGAACCGUGAGGCUUAACCU